rnacentral:rRNA from 1 species
GUUUUGCUUCGCAUGAAGCGAAACGGAAAGAUGGCGCAAGCUAUCACUUGCAGAUGGGCCUGCGGCGCAUUAGCUAGUUGGUGAGGUAAAGGCUCACCAAGGCGACGAUGCGUAGCCGACCUGAGAGGGUGACCGGCCACACUGGGACUGAGACACGGCCCAGACUCCUACGGGAGGCAGCAGUAGGGAAUUUUCCACAAUGGACGAAAGUCUGAUGGAGCAACGCCGCGUGAACGAUGAAGGCUUUCGGGUCGUAAAGUUCUGUUGUUAGGGAAGAAACAGUGCCAUUUAAAUAAGAUGGCGCCUUGUUUUUUACCUAACGAGAAAGCCACGGCUAACUACGUGCCAGCAGCCGCGGUAAUACGUAGGUGGCAAGCGUUGUCCGGAAUUAUUGGGCGUAAAGCGCGCGCAGGUGGCUAUGUAAGUCUGAUGUUAAAGCCCGAGGCUCAACCUCGGUUCGCAUUGGACACUGCGUAGCUGGAGUGCAGGAGAGGAAAGUG